ensembl:rRNA 5S_rRNA 5S ribosomal RNA
GUCGACGGCCAUACUACCCUGAACGCACCCGAUCUCAUCUGAUCUCGGAAGAUACAGUCCCAGGACUAUCGUUUAUU